AACAUUUCACCAGGACGUUCAGCAGAUUUCCGAGAGCGUUUCAGCCUUCAGCAUUCACACUGUAUUUUCGCAGGAAAUGCAACUGUGUCUAGUUGCACAUUGUCCUUGGGUGGUGUGUGUGUGUGCGUGCGUGCCAUUCAGGACAACCAAGCUACAGACCAGCAGAGGGCGAAAACGACAGUCUAAUGACCAGGAUGACCGUCAACUCAUUUGAUUGUCACUCGGCAACAAUACUACAACACUUGUCCAAAGUCAAGUGGGUUUUACAUUAACACGGUGUGGAGUGUCACUAUGGGCCCACCCUGACCAGCGUCAUGAUAGAGGUAAGAAGUGGGCUCUGACUGAGGUUCAGCACUACACACCAUAUUUAGCACUAGGCAGAGUGGUUGAGGGGCGGUACCUACCUGCAGUGCUCCUCAAUCAGCUCAAAAUGAUGACAGCUGUGUCUAAUCACCAAGUGAGGACACCUGGGUUCUGAUCAGCCUGGGCUAUGAAAACUGACUGAACCUCAGCCACGUAAGGCUAGUCUUGCUCUACACGGGAUGCUAUCGGGCGGCAACCUAUGGGAAGGGAAUUUAAAAAGGACUGUUAUUGGAAAUACCCUGGACUUGGGAAGACGAUUUAUGUUGACUGCAUUAAUUUCCCCCCACUUAUGUUAAUUUCCCUGAUUAAAGGACGUUGCUGGUAGUGUUAUGCUGCUGGGCUGUUUUGCUGCCAGUGGAUCUGCUCCUCUAAAGAAAGUAAAUUAUACUAAUGAAGGAGGAUUAUCUACAUUUCUUCAAGAAAACCUAAAAUCAUCAGCCAGAAGAUUGGCAUUUGGGUGCUCAGUAGUAAAAUGAUCCGAAACAUCCAUCAAAAGAGGCAAAGAAAUGGCUAAAUCAGGCUAGAAUUGAGGUUUUGGAGUAGCCUUCCCAAAGUCCUGACUUGAACCUUAUCGAGAAAAUGCUGACUGUACUGAAGAAACAUGUUCCUGCCAGGAAGCCAACAAAUUCAGCUGAGCUUCUGUUACCGAUUCUGUUGAGUAGGAGUAAACACAUAACCUGCAUCCUGAGGAAACACACACAAAUAGUGUAAAUAUGAAACAUUAUAACCCUCAGGAUUUUCAACAGUGGGACAAAGUAGAAGAUACUUCACUUAUCUGUGAUGACAGAGCCAUGCACUUUAUACUUACAAAAAGAUUAUUUUGCACAGUUGAUCUUUGUACCUAUAACUGCUUUGAAAUGGCUUCAAGUGACUUUCCUGACUUGUACAAAUCCAUAAUGCACUCUUUUAGAUCAAUACUGAGCUCCUUAGACUCCGCAAUUCUAGUGUUUGUGGCGGAGUCUAAUUGGUAUAUCAAACAAGCCCCAUGUAAUGCUUUUUAAGAUACUUUUAAGAUGACUCUUUUUAAAUGUAUUUGACAGAUGGUCCUGUGAAGAGAUAGUUAGGUUUUAUGUAGUAAUAUUAGAGUGAAUUAGGUAAUCUACAUUCCACACUGGACAGUCAUUUUGCCAAAAAGAAAUUAAAGGAGAACUUCGGUCGGU